rnacentral:tRNA from 1 species
GGAGAGAUAAAGGUGCCUGGUGGCCCUCGCGGUCUUCAAAACCGUUGUCUGUCUGUUGAACAGGCAGAGGUAGGUUCGAUUCCUACUCCCUCCG